rnacentral:tmRNA from 1 species
GGGGGUGUCUUUGGUUUCGACAGGAUAAUUGAGUAUAGAUAAGCGAGCCGUGUUUUUUUCUUGGGGUACACGUAAAAGAACUGGGAAAUUAAAUAUAAACGCAAAAAAUGAAAAUAAUUUUGCUUUCGCAGCGUAAUGAAACCCUGCGGCCCUCCUCAAUCCGACGAACUGCUGCCUCAUUUGAGCGACGGGCGCUAUCAAACCUUUUACAGCAGUCGAUGCCGUGAGCGUCUUAGUAACGGCGGGUAUCCAAUAAGACAACCCAUCUUACAAGUUGCCUACCACGAGUAAGAUGGUAUUAGAAUAGGCUGCGCUCGGAGAAAGUUUAUAUAACGUUAUUUUGGACAGGGGUUCAAGUCCCCUCACCUCCACCA